UUUUUAUUUACAUUUGUCGCCGUUUUUCUUCUUUGCCGAGCCGUGCCCGCGCGCCCUCUUUUCUCCCCGACGCCGCCGAUCUCGUCCGAGCCCUAACCGCCGGGCCGGCGGUUUUCCUCCUCUCCUCCUACUUCAUCCUCCCUUCCACUUCUUCUUCUUCUCCCUCCGGCGACGCCGCACGAGCACAAUCGAACCGGACUAUCUCCUUGCCCUAAUCUGUCGUCGGCUGAGUUCCUGCUACCUUUUUCCUCUAGCCGACGCCAGCCACUUGAGUAGCGCCGGCCACCCCCGAUCGCCGGCACUCGAGUACCACUGUUUGGGUUCUUCUGUGCCCUAGCUUCUGCCGCCGACGACGAGAGCCACUGCCGAUUCCUUCCCUGUGCCCUAGCCGACACUUGCUCCCGAGCCACUUCGACCACCCCGACUGUUGACCGAGCAGCACCGCUGUAAAUCCUUUCCGGCACCUCUAUCCUUCCGAGCAGUGCAGAGCUUGGAUGUUCUUCUCUGUUAUUGAUCAAUCCUUCUUUGUGGUGGAUCAACAAGCACAACUAUGAGUUAGCGAACGGUCUGAAGUUGCUGGAUUCCGGUCUUUCCGUUGUGAAUCGGAUCAGUUGCCAUCACAGACGACUGAAGGAGAGUUAGAGGACUUUGAUUUGAGACGAGCAUCUCGACGCCCGAGUUGGACCAUUUCGAUUGGAG